rnacentral:rRNA from 1 species
CCUACGGGAGGCAGCAGUGAGGAAUAUUGGUCAAUGGGCGCGAGCCUGAACCAGCCAAGUAGCGUGAAGGAUGACUGCCCUACGGGUUGUAAACUUCUUUUAUAAAGGAAUAAAGUGAGGCACGUGUGCCUUUUUGUAUGUACUUUAUGAAUAAGGAUCGGCUAACUCCGUGCCAGCAGCCGCGGUAAUACGGAGGAUCCGAGCGUUAUCCGGAUUUAUUGGGUUUAAAGGGAGCGUAGAUGGGUUGUUAAGUCAGUUGUGAAAGUUUGCGGCUCAACCGUAAAAUUGCAAUUGAUACUGGCAGCCUUGAGUACAGUUGAGGUAGGCGGAAUUCGUGGUGUAGCGGUGAAAUGCUUAGAUAUCACGAAGAACUCCGAUUGCGAAGGCAGCUUACUAACCUUCCACUGACAUUGAUGCUCGAAAGUGUGGGUAUCGAACAGGAUUAGAUACCCUAGUAGUC